rnacentral:rRNA from 1 species
GUAUCCUGGCUCAGGAUGAACGCUAGCGGCAGGCUUAACACAUGCAAGUCGAGGGUAUAGUAGCAAUACUAGACGACCGCGCACGGGUGCGUAACGCGUAUGCAAUCUACCUUUGCAGAGGAUAGCCAGAGAAAUUUGGAUUAAUACCUCAUAGUAUAGUACUUUGGCAUCAAGGAACUAUUAAAGUCACAACGGCAAAAGAUGAGCAUGCGUCCCAUUAGCUAGUUGGUAAGGUAACGGCUUACCAAGGCUACGAUGGGUAGGGGUCCUGAGAGGGAGAUCCCCCACACUGGUACUGAGACACGGACCAGACUCCUACGGGAGGCAGCAGUGAGGAAUAUUGGACAAUGGGCGCAAGCCUGAUCCAGCCAUGCCGCGUGCAGGAUGACGGUCCUAUGGAUUGUAAACUGCUUUUAUACAGGAAGAAACACUCCGACGUGUCGGAGCUUGACGGUACUGUAAGAAUAAGGAUCGGCUAACUCCGUG